rnacentral:rRNA from 2 species
GCGGCGUGCCUAAUACAUGCAAGUCGAGCGAACUGAUUAGAAGCUUGCUUCUAUGACGUUAGCGGCGGACGGGUGAGUAACACGUGGGCAACCUGCCUGUAAGACUGGGAUAACUUCGGGAAACCGAAGCUAAUACCGGAUAGGAUCUUCUCCUUCAUGGGAGAUGAUUGAAAGAUGGUUUCGGCUAUCACUUACAGAUGGGCCCGCGGUGCAUUAGCUAGUUGGUGAGGUAACGGCUCACCAAGGCAACGAUGCAUAGCCGACCUGAGAGGGUGAUCGGCCACACUGGGACUGAGACACGGCCCAGACUCCUACGGGAGGCAGCAGUAGGGAAUCUUCCGCAAUGGACGAAAGUCUGACGGAGCAACGCCGCGUGAGUGAUGAAGGCUUUCGGGUCGUAAAACUCUGUUGUUAGGGAAGAACAAGUACGAGAGUAACUGCUCGUACCUUGACGGUACCUAACCAGAAAGCCACGGCUAACUACGUGCCAGCAGCCGCGGUAAUACGUAGGUGGCAAGCGUUAUCCGGAAUUAUUGGGCGUAAAGCGCGCGCAGGCGGUUUCUUAAGUCUGAUGUGAAAGCCCACGGCUCAACCGUGGAGGGUCAUUGGAAACUGGGGAACUUGAGUGCAGAAGAGAAAAGCGGAAUUCCACGUGUAGCGGUGAAAUGCGUAGAGAUGUGGAGGAACACCAGUGGCGAAGGCGGCUUUUUGGUCUGUAACUGACGCUGAGGCGCGAAAGCGUGGGGAGCAAACAGGAUUAG